AUGAGUGCUUCAGGUAUUAGGGAGGCAAGAACAGAUAUGAAAGAACUCAGACAUAUGGCACCACAGAUAGAUCUUAGAGUAACAGGAACUGGAUUCCCAGCGCCUAAUAUGAGAGGUCCAGGCAUGCAAGGCAUAAGUCCCAACAUUUGGGGUCCUGGAUCACACAUACAAGAUCUAUUUAGUAUGCAAGGCCUGAACCCAGAAGUAAAAUAUCCAGGACCUGAUAUGAGAAACAGUGAAAUAGAAAUGAGUGGUCAAAUGCUUGUACCGGCUGUUACAAAUUCACAAAUGGGAGGGCCAGACCUACAGAAUGAGAGAAGGCCUGGGCCUGAGAUAAGAGACACAAGGGGGCCUUUAUCAGCUAUGUAUCAUCCAAGCCAAGGAAACCAAGAUGGCAGGCCAGGUGUAAUGGAAAUGGGGAGAAAUCAAUCUUUCGGGGGUCCACAGAUAGAAGGUAUGGCUCCAGAUAUAGGAAGAGGUCAAAAGGAUAGAGGUGAAAGUCCACAUACUGGGGGUAUGAGACCUGCUAUAAGGGGUGGAGGUGUAAGAGAUCCAUCAGGUCAUUCUUUCAGAGGCUCAGAAAGAAUUCAAAGGCAAUCAAGGCAUGAUGGCAGUCUGGUUUUAGCGGAAAGGGGUUUUCAGGCAUAUGGUGGUCGAGAAAGGAGUUUAGAUUCAGAUUCAACUACAGGUUCAGAGGGUAGACAUCUAAUAGCAGAUAGACUAUCCCCAGCAAUGACAGAUGAAAGGUGGGGCCUACAAAAAGGGCGAGAUGUACCCAUUAGAGGACCAGGGCCAAACAUAAAUUAUGAAAGUGGUGGUUCUAACAUAUCCUCCUUUGGACAAGACAGUACUGGGUCUAGAGAACAUUUCAAGGAGCCACGUCCCGGUAUUAGGGCUGAAAAGAGUGUCAUUGCCUCAGAAAUGAGAGAAUCAGAAGCUAUUCUUGAAUUAAGAAGGCCAGAUAUGACACAAAUAAGCUAUAUGGGGCCUGGUCCAAUUAUGGAUAGUAUGGGUGGCUCAGAUACAAGGGGUGAUGACAUGCCAAACAUUACAAAUCCAGAUUGGAGAGGUCCAGGACCAGGUGUUGUUAGACCUGAUAUGAGGGGUCAGACCAGUCUAGAUUGGAGUGACCCAAGAACAGACAUAAGAGAUGAUUGGGAAGGGCCAGAUAGGAGAGGAUCAGGGCCAUUUAUACAAGAAGAAUGGAGAGUCCAUCAGCCUGAUAUGAGAGGUCCAUACAUUGAGAGCCACGAGCCUGACGGAAGAGGUGCUGGAGACCUAGACUUUAGAGAACCAGAGUCUGAAAUGAGCGGUCCACACAUGGAGGACCUUAGGCAUGACAGGAGAAGACCAAGGGGUCCGGAUUUCAUGGCAACAGGGGGUCCAGAAUUUGUGGGACCACGACUUGAAAGGAGAGGUCCAGCUUUGGAGGGACCUGGGCCUGACAGGAGGCGGCCUGGGGAUCCAGAUUUCAGGGGACCAGGGCCUGAAAGGAGAUGCUCUUCAAUAGAGGCUCCUGGGCCUGUUAGGAGAGGACCAGCCGGUUCGGAUUUCAGAGGACCAAGACCUGAAAUGAGAGGUCCAGCUAUGGAGGGUCCUGUGCCUGAAAGGAGAGGACCUGGAGGUCCAGAUUUUAGGGGAUCAAGACCUGCAAACAGGGGCUUGUCUAUUGAGGGACUAGGGCCUGAAAGGAGAUGCUUAUCUAUGGAGAGUCCUGGCCCUAAUCGUAGAGGACCUGGAGAGCCAGAUUUUGGAGGGCCAGGACCUGAAAGGAGAGGUUCAGCUAUGGCGGGUCCUGGGCCUGACAGGAGAGGACCUGGAGGUCCAGAUUUCAAGGGACAAGGCCCCGAAAGCAGAGGCUUAUCAAUGGAGGGU
ensembl:lncRNA collagen alpha-1(I) chain-like